GAACCAGCACCUCAAGUGGUCAGGAGGAUUAUUGGGCCUAAAGCAUCCGUAGCCUGUUCUGUAAGUUUUCGGUUAAAUCCAUUAGCUCAACUAAUGGGCUGCCGAAAAUACUGUAGAACUAGGGAGUGGGAGAGGUAGACGGUAUUCGGUAGGAAGGGGUAAAAUCCUUUGAUCUAUUGAGGACCACCUGUGGCGAAGGCGGUCUACCAGAACACGUUCGACGGUGAGGGAUGAAAGCUGGGGGAGCAAACCGGAUUAGAAACCCCGGUAGUCC
rnacentral:rRNA from 1 species